rnacentral:lncRNA from 1 species
CACCUGGUGGUGUUGCUCUUUAUAUGAUUUUAAGUAGUCUUCCAGAGUAAUAUUCCAGUUGGAGCAUUACUCUUAACAGGGCCAUGAGAGAGAGUAAGGUUUGGCUUAUGGUUAAAGUAUCUAAUUUGUAGAGCCCUGCGCGGAUACACAAAUGUGUAUCUGCAUUCAAUCUGCAAAAAUUAUCUGUGGCUAUCCGCAUCCGUGCGUGCGGAUAUCUGCACAUAUCCACGGAUUAGCAGGGCUCUACACUGAGGCCAGGCUGAGGCUCCAAGGCAUUCCCCACCGUCGGAGCCUGGUUGGGGAGAUUGCGUGGGCAGCUGUGGGGAUCCCAUGCGAAGUCCCGGACCUUCCACCUGCCCUCGGCCAGGCAGGAAGCAUGGGGGGCGGGGACAUGGCUGUGGGCUGCUUUCAGCUCCCCACCCUCACACCGUGGGCAGGUGGAGGGUCCACUGCAACUCCCCAUGGCUCCCCAGUUGGGCUCUAUGCUGGCCUGGCCAGGGGAAGGGGAAGACCUGUGGAGCAUGGAGUUGGCCAGGCCAGCAUGGAGGUUUUGAGCCACCAUGGCCAUGGCCAGGCAGUGGUUUUGAGCCACCCCCCCAUCCCCAGCUGGAGUUGGGUUGUGGAGAGUUGUGCUGGCAGCUGUGAGGAGCUGCUGCGAACCCUUCACCUGCCUUGGGUGGGGUGCCUGAGCAGCCUCCGACCUGUGUCCCAGUCCCCCGCCCAGGGCAGAUGGAGGUUCUGUGCUGAGUUCCUCACAGUUGCCUGCCCGUCUUUUACCGUCAGAACCCUGCGCAGAUACAAAAUUUGUAUCCGCAUCUGUGCUGCUAUCCGCAAAAAUGCUCCACGGAUAUAAAGCAGAUACCUGCAGGUUUGCAGGGCUCUGCUAAUUUGAAGUGUGGUGAUCUGAGUUCUGAUCCUAGCUCUGCGCAGACUCCCUGUGUGACCAUAGGAAAGUCUCAGACUUUUCUGGGUUUUGUUUCCUAAUCUAUAAACUUCAGAU